rnacentral:misc_RNA from 1 species
GGAAGGAUCAUUCACGCUAGAUCCACAGAUAGUUGAAUUUGUUUCCAAUGAGAAAAAUACAAACAUUCUCUGCGGUGGAUGUUUCGGUUCCCAUAUCGAUGAAGGACGUAGCAUUAUGCGAUAAUCAGUGCGAAUUGCAGAAGAAUGUGAACUUACCAGGUAUCUUAACGCGUGCGGCACAUGAGAUGAGAGUCUCAUUGUGCGCUCGGCUCAGUGCAACUAAUAGUGUGUGAAAGUGUCGCCUUGUGGCGUCACCGGUAUUUGUUGAUGGACUUCACCAGACUGCAAACAGUGAUGAAGCUCCACUGCGUUUUACCUUAGGACUGGAGCUCGAGCGCGGAAACCCGCUGAACUUAAGCAUAUUAGUAAGCGGAGUAAAUGUAACUAAUAAGGAUUCCUUUAGUAGUUGCGAACGAACAGGGAAGAACUCAAAUUGAAAAUCGCUUGGGGUUUUACUCUCCAAGUGAAUUGUAGUGUGGAAGGGCAGUACCGGCGUCUGGCUCAAGCAAAAGUCUCGUGGGAAAGAGCGCGUUAAAGGGUGAGAGCCCCGUAUUUGCUUGCGGCCGGACGCACACGGGACGCUUUUUCAAGAGUCGCGUUUCUCGGGAGUGAAGCGCAAAUUGAAUGGUAAAUUUCAUUGAAGGUAGAAACAAAUGUGGGAAUCCGAUAGCGAACAAGUACCGUGAGGGAAAGAUGAAAAGAACUUUGGAAAGAGAGUUAAAACUCCCUGAAGCUGCCGAGAAGGAAGCGGUUCGAACUGCCAUAAUUGCCAUAGGGUCGUUAGCUUCCUGCGUUACCGACCUUUCUUCUUUCGCAGAAGCAGGGCUGGUCAAUAAUGGGAGUGGGACUUACCAAUGGUUGUUACCCGCUGUGUGUGUCUGCCAGCUAUACAUUCAAGGUUCAACCGGAUUUUCCGGCCAACACUGAAGGGUAAUAGUUUGGUAUUCUUGCAAGGUUGGCGGCAGAGGUGUUUCUUGUGGAACGCUCUGCCACAGCAACGGUUUAACGGUUCGCACCGACCCGUCUUGAAACACGGAUCAAGGAGUCCAACAUGCUCACGAGUUGCAAGGUGAAAAACCUUGGGGCACAAUGAAAAUGAAUGUGACACAAACAACCGACUACACUCAGAGGUUCGAGGGAGAGUGCACAUGUUGGGACCCGAAAGAUGGUGAACUAUGCCUGGACAGGGUGAAGCCAGGGGAAACCCUGGUGGAAGCUCGCAGCGAUACUGACGUGCAAAUCGUUCGUCUAAUUUGGGUAUAGGGGCGAAAGACUAAUCGAACCAUCUAGUAGCUGGUUCCAUC